rnacentral:lncRNA from 1 species
CAGCCUGCCAAAUGGAACCGCCUUCAUCCUCUGCCUGUGCAGGGUUGGUCAUCCACCUGGGCCCAGCAAGGAGCAGAGUGUUGUUUGCCCUCUGAGCCUCAAGAGUAAAUUUGCUACUCGAAGAGAAGGCUGCCUGGCCCUGCUCCAGCCUGGACCCCAGGUUCAGACAGAGGUGCUGAGCCCCAUGUCAAGUUGUUAAAUGUUUUUGUUCUGUAGCUCCGUCCCACUCCUUUUUGAUGAUAUUUACAAAAGAAAGCAAGCUGCUUGGAAGGUCUGGACGUGAGGGAAAGGGCAUGAAGACAAGGCUGAUAGUGGGGAGUGCUAGAGGCUUGGUUGUUCCCCUGGAUAGGACCCCAGAGUCUCUCUAGUUAAAGGGCCCCUAGGUUCUCCCCAGCUCCCACCCUCUCCUCCAGCCAUGGUGAUGGCAGAGGCAGAAGAAAACUUUGAGCCCAGUUCUCACAGGAAAGGAAAACUCUCAUGGGCUUUGCAGAGAAGGUUCC